rnacentral:misc_RNA from 1 species
AAGUCGUAACAAGGUUUCCGUAGGUGAACCUGCGGAAGGAUCAUUAGCGAAGCUCGGAAUGCGUGUUCGGUCUGAUGCUGCCCGGCAACGGGAUGUGCUCGUCUGGAUGCGUGUCCCUUCUCUAUUCCACCCCUUUGUGAACCAAGUGUGCGAGCCGAAGAGAGAUCGGAGGCUCGCAUGCAAACCCUUAACAUACCCCAAUGAAGUAUCAGAAUGUACCUUGCGUUAACUCGCACAAAUACAACUUUCAACAACGGAUCUCUUGGCUCUC